GACGAACGCUGGCGGCGUGCCUAAUACAUGCAAGUAGAACGCUGAAGGAGGAGCUUGCUUCUCCGGAUGAGUUGCGAACGGGUGAGUAACGCGUAGGUAACCUGCCUGGUAGCGGGGGAUAACUAUUGGAAACGAUAGCUAAUACCGCAUAACAGUAGAUAUUGCAUGAUAUCUGCUUGAAAGGUGCAAUUGCAUCACUACCAGAUGGACCUGCGUUGUAUUAGCUAGUUGGUGAGGUAACGGCUCACCAAGGCGACGAUACAUAGCCGACCUGAGAGGGUGAUCGGCCACACUGGGACUGAGGCACGGCCCAGACUCCUACGGGAGGCAGCAGUAGGGAAUCUUCGGCAAUGGACGGAAGUCUGACCGAGCAACGCCGCGUGAGUGAAGAAGGUUUUCGGAUCGUAAAGCUCUGUUGUAAGAGAAGAACGAGUGUGAGAGUGGAAAGUUCACACUGUGACGGUACCUUACCAGAAAGGGACGGCUAACUACGUG
rnacentral:rRNA from 1 species